GUGCACGCUGGCGGUAGGCCUAACACAUGCAGGUCGAACGGCAGCACCGUAAGAGCUUGCUCUUACGGGUGGCGAGUGGCGGACGGGUGAGGAAUACAUCGGAAUCUACUUUUUCGUGGGGGAUAACGUAGGGAAACUUACGCUAAUACCGCAUACGACCUACGGGUGAAAGCAGGGGAUCUUCGGACCUUGCGCGAUUGAAUGAGCCGAUGUCGGAUUAGCUAGUUGGCGGGGUAAAGGCCCACCAAGGCGACGAUCCGUAGCUGGUCUGAGAGGAUGAUCAGCCACACUGGAACUGAGACACGGUCCAGACUCCUACGGGAGGCAGCAGUGGGGAAUAUUGGACAAUGGGCGCAAGCCUGAUCCAGCCAUACCGCGUGGGUGAAGAAGGCCUUCGGGUUGUAAAGCCCUUUUGUUGGGAAAGAAAAGCAGCAGGUUAAUACCCCGCUGUUCUGACGGUACCCAAAGAAUAAGCACCGGCUAACUUCGUG
rnacentral:rRNA from 1 species